AAAAGGUUCUCCUCGUGUCAAUAACUCUGAUGUUGUGUCUAACGUUCAUGGCGCGAUUUUUCUGCUUCUGCAAUAUGAUCUUCAAAUAUUUCCCGUUUCUGAUUCUGCAGAGUAACAAUGCCUGCGUGUGUGCGCGUGCGCUUGUGGCAAGAAAUUCUCCUACUGCCAAUGUUAUUUUUAACUCAUUAAUGCACGUGCGAGCGUAAAUACUUCCACGGCUCGAUGAGAGUUGCACUUUACAAGCAACGAUGUGUGUGUGUGUGUGUGUGUGUGUGUGUGUGUGUGUGUGUGUGGGCGCGCCCGCCCUCGGGACAAGCAGCGGCCAGCAGCUGUUUGACGCACGCAUGGAGCUGUACACGGGGGCGAAAUGCGGGCUUUUCUCCUUCUAUUUCUUCUUCUUUGCUCCGAUGUGUUGACGUUUGUAACAAUCGCGUGUGCAGCAGGUUAUUUCUGGGGAUUUUUCUGCCGGUUUAGCGCAGCUGACCUGCAGGAGGUGGACACACGCCGCAGAUCUCGCCGUUGCGCCUGCCUACACCUGGCUACAGGAGACGCGUUUGCGUUAAUCCCUCAUCCUGAUACAGAUCAGAGGAGUAUAAGAGCUCGGCCUCAUAACAUGACAGCAGAACAGGUGACUCACAGACGAACCUGAUAUCUUCCGCCAGAGAGACGUUCUAUGGUUUUGAACUGAAAAGGUGCCGUCUCAGCAAAAACAGUCCUUGUUCCAUCUACAACUCAGCCUGCGAUCAAGACAGAAGGGGACCAAUGGAGUGGGGAGAAGCAACCACAUGAGUGCAUGUUUGAGGUGGGUGGGUGGGUGGUGGGAUUCUCUGCCAGUGGGUGAGCUUAUCCAGAGGAUCUGUUCUGCCUCAUGAGAUGGGGAGAGAACUCUGAUAGGAGCCGAGCUCCUGCACCGGGACCCAGGAACAGGCCGGACUUUGUCAGUUUUACCUACCACUGAGUGUAUAUCUAUAAGCACCCAAAUUAGUCUUUCAAUAACAAACUCUGCCAGUUUCUCUGACUGGUCAUGACAAAUGUUCGCAACGGAUCCGGUUAAUGUCAGCCGCAAGGGGACUGACAGCCCGUCACCUUUAUUGUAACGAAGCCUUACGGUACAUUAAGGCGUUAACGUUGGUAAUGUUUGUUGAGGCAUCUGUGGUCUGACAAAUAAGAGCCACAAAUAAGGUCCGGCUAUUAAAGCUGUUCUUUUGAUUUAAUUAAAAAUGUACUUUCUCUUCACUGAAGUGGGCAGAGGGGGCGCGCUGGCUUAAUCUUUAUUCUGUCCGCCACCUUUUCACAGCGGAGAAAGCCAAACAGAAAAGCCUGUCGGAUCAUUAUUUGAGUGCCAAAACAGCAGGAGAGGAAAAGGCAGCAGAGCCCGGUGAUUAAAAUUCCUACCACCUUGUUGACUGCGUCUCCCCAACAAGCUUUGCUUUCUUUUCAGGACUUGGAUGCAACACGGCGGUUGAGGGAGUGCGAGCUGGCAACAGAUAAGAGGGACGUUUUAAACUGCAGAUGGAAACGAGCUCUAAAUGCUACACGCAGAAGACAAUCAGGCCGAGAGAACCUGCAAACCCGAGCUACUGUUAUCUCUUGAUGAGACUCUUCCAUCAGAAUACUGCAUCAGUUCAUGUGAUUGUGCCCAUAAGAAAAUCCUUUUCCUUUUUUUUUCGGUGCGUCUGAGUCCACUAGGUGGUGACAACCUUUUUCCUGUUGAACUAUUACAUUACGGACAAAAAUAAAGUCUUUAUGUCCUCACUCUCUUUGGCCCAACAUGCUUGCAGAGCAUUUCCUUCAUGCUAUUGUGUGCAUGCACUCGUAGAUCACAGUUCAUGACAAUAAUAUCAGGGUGCUUGUCAGGGUUUUAUGACUUAGACGGGUCUAUUUGUAAAACUAUAUUCUGCAGUGGCCAGUGAGCAGCAUAACCAGGUGUGUGUUCUCAAUAGGAUUAGUAGCAAAAUAUUGUUCUGCCAGUGUUUUAAUUGUUGUUAUUGCAGUUUUAACAAAUCAGUGGCAUUCAAAUAGAUUAAAAUUUGAUGUUUUCUAAAUGAUGAAAAAUUUGUCCUCAACCACCACAUAAAAGUAGUAUGAAUCAGUUAUUGUUGUUAGUAGUAGAUUGCUAGUUUGCCAUUUUAGUGCAUUAAAUUACUAAUAAUUUGCUGUUUUGGACACAGAUUAGCAGAAAUCUAUGGAACAUAUAACAUUGUAUUCAGUUUUUUUUGUACAUGUACAUUGUGUGUGUGUGUGUGUGUGUGUGUGUGUGUGUGUGUGUGUGUGUGUGAAAACCCACUCCGCCCUCAAUUAGCCGCUGACGGACAGGUCAAUGGCCCGUCAGCACAUCCUCGCUGACGGGCGAACGGCGACACAUUCCUCCUCCUGUCGCUCCGGCCGUUCCGUCCUCACCCCUCUCAGCCUCCCACUGCGGUAGGUCAGGUGGGGACGGGGGAAACAUCAAAAAUAGGCGUAGAUGGCGCUGAAGGCACACCGAGUGAAAGAGGAGAUUUUUAUAUUUUUUAUAUCUCCGCUGUUUCAAGUUCACUGAUCCCCCCCCCCCCCCCCCCCCCCCCCCCCCCACACACACACACACCACCCCACCAAACCAGACUGCUCGGAUGUCCUGCCCUUUCAACACACCUGAGCUCUCCCCUCUGUUCCACCACCCCCACCACCACCACCACACACACACACACACAUACACACACACUUCUUUUUCUCAGCUAUAUCUCAGUGCUACAAAUCCCUCCUUACCCCAGCAGAAUUCCUUCCUUCCCACAUUUGCUCCUCUCCCAUUUCCACCUUCCCUCUCAAUGGGC
ensembl:lncRNA